CAAGCCGCAAGUUUUCGAAGGGCCCGUUCCGGCUUAGACAGUGGAGUAGUUAUAUCAGUCGCGGGAGGCCGCGGUGAUUUGGGAUAUCAGCAGUCGGGAUUCUCUAGGGUCGGUGAGGGGAAGUCCGCUGGGAUCAGCGAUGCAGAGCUUCCGAGCUGGGUGUGAGCUGAGGGCGGGCCGGCGUAGUGCGGGUGGCGUGGCCGGCCGAGUGGCGGGCUGUGAGUGACGGCCCUGCAGGGCGGACGUAGUUUCCCAGUUAGGCUGUCGACUGGUUCGGUAGUUUUCACUUUCCUUGCCUGUGUUCCUUAUGUGUAUACAUAUCUUAUUCGUAGCUUAGCUUCCAAGUACGCUUUGGUGUCGGAUUUCACACUGUUGGCCGUUGAAACGCGUUCGAGGACUGCGCGUGCGACUUCAGAGCGCCUUAGUGGGUGGCACCGGAGGACAGUGGGGAGGGAGUCGCCGGUUGGGACCCGGGGCAGCCAGUGGUGGGUUGGGGGCCGGGUGCUUCAGGGGCGUGCCUCCUCGCACACUCAGGGAACCAGUGAUCGGCCACCCUUACGAGUUAGUAUACUGAGCCAGCUGCUGGAAGCCUGGAGGACGGCUGAUGGGCGUUGGUGAGGGCGACUGCGUUGCCUUCUGGGCAGCGAGCUUUGGGGUCUUUUGGAGAUGGAUGGGUGGGUAAGUGCUGGUGUCUCCGCCAGACCCUGUGGAUAUGGCAAGGUCAGUGACUGGUAGUUGGCAAUAUCUUUCUCUUCUCACAGUUGAAAGGUGGCACAGCUACAAGAAUCCUUCAAGUUUAGUUUUGUCUCAUUAUUUUUUCCCUAACCCUAAUAACUACAGUGUCUACACAGUAACCCUCACCUUGGGGCCCUCAGAUUCAUGUGGGGCAACCGUUGCAUGAGUGACCACACAGUCAUUGCCUUUCCAGGGUUUCCUGGUGUCUGUGGAGCCUUUGGGUCAGGCUAUUUCAGACUACAGGAUUUCUCUUCACUGUUCAGCCUGCCUUUCCCCAGUGGCUCUGCUUUGAGCCUCUACUUUCCACCCAACUUCCAGCUCCAGAGGAAAGUGGAGCUGCUAGCAAGAGAAACCAAUAGGAGAAGUCCAGGCAGGACAUGCCAGUUGAUGUGCAUUUAUCCCAGGAGCCCCAGGCCCUGGGUCCAGAGGAGCAGGACAGAUUUUGUGAGGUUAUAGUUCACCCUUUUGUGGAGUACAUCCUGUAGGAACUCCUCGGAAAUGUGUACAUGGCAGAAGAAUUUGGGCUUGAUAUCCUACAACAGGAAGUUUCUGAGAAAGCUUCAUUUCAAAAUGAGAUGGUGAGUGAAAUCACAAGAGAUGGUUUGUGGCAUUCCAUUUUAGAACUAUGGCAGGAUGCUGGCCUUACAAAGAGAGAUCGGCAAACCCAGAUCCAGUACCUGAGCCCUUGUGCUUCCAUCAGCAAGAAGACAUUGAGCAUAGAGAGCAGUUGUGUUCAUAAGGACCCAGGGAAUAGCAUUCCCCUGAGGGUCCUUGCUUCACACAAGAGACCUCUUAAAUGGUGCUCAUUUGCAAAACCUUUGAAACCUAACCUAGAAGCAAAUGGUCAAAAUCAAAGCAGCCUCACAAAACUGCUUGAUGACAUCAUUGGCUCUGGUCAGCUGC